rnacentral:rRNA from 1 species
CCUACGGGUGGCAGCAGUGGGGAAUAUUGGACAAUGGGGGCAACCCUGAUCCAGCCAUGCCGCGUGUGUGAAGAAGGCCCUCGGGUUGUAAAGCACUUUCAGCGAGGAAGAACGCCUAGCGGUUAAUACCCGCUAGGAAAGACAUCACUCGCAGAAGAAGCACCGGCUAACUCCGUGCCAGCAGCCGCGGUAAUACGGAGGGUGCAAGCGUUAAUCGGAAUUACUGGGCGUAAAGCGCGCGUAGGUGGCUUGAUAAGCCGGUUGUGAAAGCCCCGGGCUCAACCUGGGAACGGCAUCCGGAACUGUCAGGCUAGAGUGCAGGAGAGGAAGGUAGAAUUCCCGGUGUAGCGGUGAAAUGCGUAGAGAUCGGGAGGAAUACCAGUGGCGAAGGCGGCCUUCUGGACUGACACUGACACUGAGGUGCGAAAGCGUGGGUAGCAAACAGGAUUAGAUACCCCGGUAGUC